GAUGAACGCUGGCGGCGUGCCUAAUACAUACAAGUCGAGCGAACGGACGAGAAGCUUGCUUCUCUGAUGUUAGCGGCGGACGGGUGAGUAACACGUGGAUAACCUACCUAUAAGACUGGGAUAACUUCGGGAAACCGGAGCUAAUACCGGAUGAUAUUUUGAACCGCAUGGUUCAAAAGUGAAAGACGGUCUUGCUGUCACUUAUAGAUGGAUCCGCGCUGCAUUAGCUAGUUGGUAAGGUAUCGGCUUACCAAGGCAACGAUGCAUAGCCGUCCUGAGAGGGUGAUCGGCCACACUGGAACUGAGACACGGUCCAGACUCCUACGGGAGGCAGCAGUAGGGAAUCUUCCGCAAAGGGCGAAAGCCUGACGGAGCAACGCCGCGUGAGUGAUGAAGGUCUUCGGAUCGUAAAACUCUGUUAUUAGGGAAGAACAUAUGUGUAAGUAACUGUGCACAUCUUGACGGUACCUAAUCAGAAAGCCACGGCUAACUACGUG
rnacentral:rRNA from 1 species